UACGUAGGUGCCAAGCGUUGUCCGGAUUUACUGGGCGUAAAGAGCGCGCAGGCGGUCGUUCAAGUCGAGUGUGAAAGCCCCCGGCUCAACUGGGGAGGGUCACUCGAUACUGAUCGACUUGAAGGCAGGAGAGGGAAGCGGAAUUCCCGGUGUAGUGGUGAAAUGCGUAGAUAUCGGGAGGAACACCAGUGGCGAAGGCGGCUUCCUGGCCUGCUCUUGACGCUGAGGCGCGAAAGCUAGGGUAGCAAACGGG
rnacentral:rRNA from 1 species